UACGGAGGGUGCAAGCGUUAUCCGGAAUCAUUGGGUUUAAAGGGUCCGUAGGCGGGCUAAUAAGUCAGAGGUGAAAUCCCACAGCUUAACUGUGGCACUGCCUUUGAUACUGUUAGUCUUGAAUUGUAGUGAAGUGGUUAGAAUAUGUGGUGUAGCGGUGAAAUGCAUAGAUAUUACACAGAAUACCGAUUGCGAAGGCAGUCUACUACGUAUGUACUGACGCUCAUGGACGAAAGCGUGGGGAGCGAACAGG
rnacentral:rRNA from 1 species